AUCCAAUUGAGCACAUCUGGGACAUCAUGUCUCGCUCCAUCCACCAACGCCACGUUGCACCACAGACUGUCCAGGAGUUGGCGGAUGCUUUAGUCCAGGUCUGGGAGGAGAUCCCUCAGGAGACCAUCCGCCACCUCAUCAGGAGCAUGCCCAGGAGUUGUAGGGAGGUCAUACAGGCACGUGGAGGCCACAUACACUACUAAGCCUCAUUUUGACUUGUUUUAAGGACAUUACAUCAAAGUUGGAUCAGCCUGUAGUGUGGUUUUCCACUUUAAUUUUGAGUGUGACUCCAAAUCCAGACCUCCAUGGGUUGAUAAAUUGGAUUUACAUUGAUUAUUUUUGUGUGAUUUUGUUGUCAGCACAUUCAACUAUGUAAAGAAAAAAGUCUUUAAUAAGAUGAUAUCAUUCAUUCAGAUCUAGGAUGUGUUGUUUAAGUGUUCCCUCUAUUUUUUUGAGCAGUAUAUAUAUAAAGACAAUAUUAAAUCAAGAACAGUCUGAUGGGUGACAAUAUUAGCCUAUCACUUGUGAACAAUAUAUUAUCAAUUGUGAAUAAUAUAUUAUCAAUUGUGAAUGAUAUAUUAUCAAUUGUGAAUGAUGCCCAGCUUGUGUGCAGUAAGGCAAGAAACAGCGCAUGCCUUUUUAUUUGCGACUUUUUAAAAUCAUAGUCGCACACCUCAUGUAGCCUAGCCCAUAGGUUGAUAUGUUUUGAUAAGGUUAGUAUCACACCUCAUGUAGCCUAGCCCAUAGGUUGAUAUGUUUUGAUAAGGUUAGUAUCACACCUCAUGUAGCCUAGCCCAUAGGUUGAUAUGUUUUGAUAAGGUUAGUAUCACAACGGUGUAGAGUCUAAAUGGCAUACAUACACAGUGUGUGAGUUUCAAGUUUGGGGAAGAUCAUUUUCACCUUAAAAAUUCACCUUAAUAAUAAAAAGCAUUACAUGCAUAAUUACAAUUGCGAUCACUUUUGAGAAUGGUGUUUUCCUGCCAAUUGAUUGCAUUUUGGAACGUUUGCGCUUAUAACCUAUUGCCGUGUGCGCAUUGCCUCGUUUAUAAUGUGAAGAAAUAGCCUAAUAGUUUAUCAACAUUUUAAGCUAAAUGUUCUGAUCUGUUGCGUCAACCUCAUGGCUUAAAACAGUUUUGUUGUUGCUCGUGGUUGUAUUAAUUAGGGAUCUAACACAUCCCACAACUUGUCCCAGGCUAUGUUUAGAAUAUGUAUUUCUCACACAGAAUAGAAUAGGUCAACAGUUUUACCAUGGGGAUAGUAGAUUGACAUAGGCAGCCUAAUAACAAAACAGAGCUCAUGCCUUUCAUCAAAUCAUCGUUUAAAGUCCCAUCACGCGACCUUAGAAUGUAUUAAAAAGAUUGAAACAUACAGCCCAACAUCUGUAUCACAACUAAAGUUGCAUAAAUAACUCUAAAUAAAGCAUAUAGGAGAAUCCCUCAAAUCCUUUGGAGAAAUGAUCCUUUCUAUUUUAUUCAGCUGUGUUCAAUUCUGUUCUUCAUACUAUAAAACAAUUUAAAAUACCACCACGGAAUUGUAGGCUAAAAUGUGUCUGCUAAAUGAACUAGUGUAGUCCAUAGCCAGAUCAGGGCCUAACAUGAUAACUCAGAGUAUGCUAUUCUGUUCUUCUGAAAUAAACUACGUUUUCUUCAUAUCAUGUUUCUUUAGACCUGUUUAAAAUAAAUCAUGGAUUUAUUGUGAAGGUAUAGACUAUAUUACAUGGAUUUAUUGUGAAGGUGUAGACUAUAUUACAUGGAUUUAUUGUGAUGGUGUAGGUAGACUAUAUUACAUGGAUUUAUUGUGAUGGUAUAGACUAUAUUACAUGGAUUUAUUGUGAUGGUGUAGACUAUAUUACAUGGAUUUAUUGUGAUGGUGUAGACUAUAUUACAUGGAUUUAUUGUGAAGGUGUAGACUAUAUUACAUGUAUUUAUUGUGAUGGUGUAGACUAUAUUACAUGGAUUUAUUGUGAUGGUGUAGACUAUAUUACAUGGAUUUAUUGUGAUGGUGUAGACUAUAUUACAUGGAUUUAUUGUGAAGGUGUAGACUAUAUUACAUGGAUUUAUUGUGAUGGUGUAGACUAUAUUACAUGGAUUUAUUUUGAUGGUGUAGACUAUAUUACAUGGAUGUAUUGUGAUGGUAUAGACUAUAUUACAUGGAUUUAUUGUGAUGGUAUAGACUAUAUUACAUGGAUUUAUUGUGAUGGUGUAGACUAUAUUACAUGGAUUUAUUGUGAUGGUGUAGACUAUAUUACAUGGAUUUAUUGUGAUGGUGUAGACUAUAUUACAUGGAUUUAUUGUGAUGGUGUAGACUAUAUUACAUGGAUUUAUUGUGAUGGUGUAGACUAUAUUACAUGGAUUUAUUGUGAUGGUGUAGGUAGACUAUAUUACAUGGAUUUAUUGUGAUGGUGUAGGUAGACUAUAUUACAUGGAUUUAUUGUGAUGGUGUAGACUAUAUUACAUGGAUUUAUUGUGAUGGUGUAGGUAGACUAUAUUACAUGGAUUUAUUGUGAUGGUGUAGACUAUAUUACAUGGAUUUAUUAGAUUUUUUAAAAUGUAGAUGUUCUGAAGGUCUGCAUCAGUGGUUUGUAGGCUACGUGUGGAAGCCAGGAGAAGCUAAAUGUGUUUAUGUUCAUUAACGGUCGAUUACUGUGAGAACGGUGGUUAUUUGCUUGACAUCACCGGCAGACUAAACGUCAUGGCCGCCACAGCCCCGCUCCAGGAAUUUGCUAAAUUCAAUUCACCUUGUCUCCCAUGUACAGUACAUGUUCAGAAGACAAGGGGUAGAUGAAACGUAAUGGAUUCUAAUCCAGAUGGCCUUAACUGGGUUCAAACUCUAUUGUUGCCCCGUGUUUCUGGAUGACACCAGUUAAACACAGCACAUUUCAUUCAACCACUUUGUCUUUAGAGAGAGACGGAGCAGGGGGGGGAUGUUGGGGUGACAAUGGGCUGUCCGACACUCACAACGGAGAGCGUGUCAGCCAGGAUAUCUUUCUGCCUGAGCUCCUUUCUGAGUUUAACUGCAUUGGAUUUUUGUUUGGCGGCGGAGUGUAUAUCAAGCCACCCCCCUUUGUGCGGCCACCGGUAAUGGUAAUGAAAGCAUGGCUAAAAUAUCUAAGUGGUCGUACUUCGUUAAGGAAGCGGCGGGAGCGGUGGUGGGAGCGGUGAAGGGGAGGGGCUGUAGGAGGCUGUAGGAUCGUGCUUGGGGUGAGAAUCAGUCUGCAUAAGGUAAGCGCAGAGAGGGAGAGAGGGAGAGGGGAUAGAAAGAGAGAGGGAGGGAGAGAGAGGGGAGAGGGAAGGAGAGAGGGAGAUAGAGAGAAUGGGCCUGCUGCAGAGAGGGAGAGAGAGAGGGGGGAUAGAAAGAGAGAGGGAGGGAGAGAGAGAGGGAGAGGGAAGGAGAGAGGGAGAUAGAGAGAAUGGGCCUGCUGCAGUUUGGCAGCCAGUUGUAAUGCAUCUCUAUGACAUCAUUCUCUGACAAAGUGUGAGGACGUCAUCAAAUUAAAGGCAUUUGUUUUAUGUAGAGUUACAGAUGUCUGAUGCUAUAUUGAAAUUCCAGUACUCCUUCACCUCCACAUUCACUGGUUCUAGCUAAAUUGGAAAAAAAAUGAUAUCACUGUCUGUCUGUCUUGUCUUGUCUGUCUGUCUGUCUGUCUGUCUGUCUGUCUGUCUGUCUGUCUGUCUGUCUGUCUGUCUGUCUGUCUGUCUGUCUGUCUGUCUGUCUGUCUGUCUGUCUGUCUGUCUGUCUGUCUGUCUGUCUGUCUGUCUGUCUGUCUGUCUGUCUGUCUGUCUGUCUGUCUGUCUGUGUCUUUCUCCCUUUGUGCUGGUGAGUUAAGAGCAUGACCCGGGUACUGUUAUCCUCAUUACGAGUUGAGUGGAUGCAUUACUUCCCUCUGCUCUGUUGUGUCCCUCUGCUCUGCUGUGUCCCUCUGCUCUGCUGUGUCCCUCUGCUCUGCUGUGUCCCUCUGCUCUGCUGUGUCCAUCUUCCCUGCUGUGUCCCUCUGCUCUGCUGUGUCCAUCUUCCCUGCUGUGUCCCUCUGCUCUGCUGUGUCCCUCUGCUCUGCUGUGUCCCUCUGCUCUGUUGUGUCCAUCUUCCCUGCUGUGUCCCUCUGCUCUGCUGUGUCCAUCUUCCCUGCUGUGUCCCUCUGCUCUGCUGUGUCCAUCUUCCCUGCUGUGUCCCUCUGCUCUGCUGUGUCCAUCUUCCCUGCUGUGUCCCUCUGCUCUGCUGUGUCCAUUUUCCCUGCUGUGUCUGAGCGUGAGUGGCAGGAGGAAAAUCAAUCCCAGAUGCAGGCCCAGUCUCAGUCCCCGAGCUGGACCCAAUACCAGUCCCAGUCCCAGUCCCAGUCCCAAUACCAGUCCCAAUACCAGUCCCAGUCCCAGUCCCAGACCCAGUCCCAGUCCCAGUCCCAGUCCCAGUCCCAGACCCAGUCCCAGUCCCAAUACCAGUCCCAGUCCCAGUCCCAGUCCCAGUCCCAAUACCAGUCCCAGUCCCAGACCCAGUCCCAGUCCCAGUCCCAGUCCCAGUCCCAGUCCCAGUCCCAAUACCAGUCCCAGUCCCAGUCCCAAUACCAGUCCCAGACCCAGUCCCAGUCCCAGUCCCAGUCCCAGUCCCAGUCCCAAUACCAGUCCCAGUCCCAGUCCCAGACCCAGUCCCAGUCCCAGUCCCAGUCCCAGUCCCAGUCCCAGUCCCAGUCCCAAUACCAGUCCCAGUCCCAGUCCCAGACCGGGCUAUAGUCACGGCCUAAGAGCAGCGGUGACGGCGCGGCCCAAGACAUGUCUUUAACAGCACUGACCUAUUUCCACCUAAAGAACUUUCCUGCAAGACAGUCCCGGUUUAAACCCGCCAUGCUGCAGAGGAGAAGCUCAGCAAUCUCAUCCAAGACUGUCAAGCCCAACAAGACAAAUUACGUUUCAACUGUAAACUGCUAUUAAGCAAGACUACACUGACCCAGAAAGUCAAAAAAUGUACCGCCCAACUCAGGAGAAGAGAAAUAAUCAAACCCAAUUUAAAUCUUGCGGCUCUAUGCAAAGACACACAAAGAUAGAGAGGGAAGAUGGGAGGGCAAGGAAGGAAACAAUUAAAUAUAUAAUCUUAAUUGCUAUUGAUUAUAGUUGGCUUUAGAUUCAAAUGUUAAGAAAUAAUACCGCUUUGAUUAUUAAAACAUGCUGAAGUAAAAUCAGGACUGAGGAAAUAACCACAGAGUAUCCCUUUAAUUAUGAUGUCAUAGAUACCAUCAGGAUUUAUUUAUUGAACCUUUAUUUAACUAGGCAAGUCAGUUAAGAACAAAUUCUUAUUUACAAUGACAGCCUACCCCAGCCACACCCGGACGAUGUUGAGCCAAUUGUGCGCCGCCCUAUGGGACUACCAAUCACAGCCAGGUGUGACUCAGCCUGGAUUUGAACCAGGGACUGUAGUGGACAGUAGUGUUCUCUCUUGCCCUGAGAUGCAGUGUCUUGGGCCACUGCACCACUCAGGGGCCAGAGGAUAGGGCACUGCUUCUCAACAAACAAUGUAGGAAUAAUAGAUUAUGGAAAUUGUCUUUUUUUUUUUAACUGGACCUAUUGAGUGUAAACUAGGGGCCACCCAUACUUAAAAUGAAUGCACGCGUGAAUAAGUCACUUUGGAUAACAGCAUCUGUAUUAAACUCUAGCACAGACGCAAGGUCAGUCAGGUUUACUGUCAGUCAGUUUUUAUCUUUGUAAGAGAAAAGAAGCUGUCUGGGCCGAGAGGACAAAGGGACCUGUUACAAUAGUGUCUGUCUCCUUCUCUGAUCAACCAAUCAGAGUCAGUCAGGGCCUGGAUCCGUGCUGCUUUGCACAUGUCCCAAUGCAGGGGAAAGUAGCCAGCACACUACUGUACUGCACUCCCCUGACACCAGAGGGCCUCAGCUGGGGAGGCCACCAAACUGCCAACCCUAGGCAUCACCGGUCAGGUAGGCCUCUGCCCUUGCUCUCUGAACAGGGAACUGUGACCACCUAUAGUCCUUCCAACUGUCCCUGUCCUCCAGUGUAGUGCAGUUCACUCAAUCACACACAAACACAACAUAUCCCCAAAUCAAAAGGUUAAGUAGAUCGUUAGCGAGAAAGCAUGAGCAGAUGUCAAACUUUCAUUACUGGGCAGUAAAUUAGCCUCAUUAAGCAGAGGACUGACUGACAUCUUCCCCAGAACCUGCUGUCAAGGGUCUUCCAUUAACAAUGACUGGGCCACUGCACAGUAUAGUGUAAACAGUGGCUUUACACAGAGACUGAGACACCAACAAAAAUACAGUUAGUGGCGUGUCCCACAGUCUCUACCUCUACGGUAGUGAACUUACUCACACAUUUUUCUGUGCCAUGAAUGGAUGACGGUCAGGAUUUUACAUGAGUGAUUUUCUCUGUCACAUCUAGGUAUUGAGUCUUGUACUGCUGAAUAUGUCUCUGUUGAAUGUGUCACUUGGGUUUAGCUGGUCCAGACAGAGACAGGCCGGCAGCCACGGCAGCCCCGGGGCAGGGUGUAAGAGCAGCACGGGGCCUUGCACAAUGUGGACGUGACAAGAAGUGAUGUGUUUUGAUGGUCCCUGGUCUUUGGGCCCACUAGCCCUUCAGACCAGAGGGGAGGUAGGGAUGUAGUGUGUCAGACAGACAGCUGUCUGAGAGCCAAUCAGAGGGCACUUGUCCAGAUAAGGAGAGAGAGAGAGAGAGAGAGAGAGAGAGAGAGAGAUAUUAUCAUAUUGAAGCAAAGUGACAGGGGUCACAGUGGGACAGGGGCCACAGUGGGACAGGGGCCACAGUGGGACAGGGGUCACAGUGGGACAGGGGUCACAGUGGGACAGGGGCCACAGUGGGACAGGGGCCACAGUGGGACAGGAAUCACAGUGGGACAGGGGUCACAGUGGGACAGGAGUCACAGUGUAUGUCCCUCUUUAGGGCUAUACAUUAGUGUUUCAUCAGCAGCUGCCCCCUACACCACCUGUACACACUUCCCUCCUAGUGUGCAUCUCUCCUGACCUCCCUACCCCUCCCUCCAGGGUCCAGCUGUCCCAAACCCUGAUCCCUCCCUCCUUCUCUCCAUCCCAUCUCCAAUAUAAGGGCAGGAAUGCAGGUCCCAGAAUAGACACAAGCAUCCAGUGAGAGAGGCCGUCAUUGUAAAUAAGAAUUUGUUCUUAACUGACUUGCCUAGUUAAAUAAAGGCUCAAAUAAAAAAACAUGUAAAACAAAUCUAAAACCAGCUGAUAGAGGGCAGACACCCCCCCAGUCCUUAAAACCAGCCAGACUGAUAGAGGGCAGACACACCCCCCCAGUCCUUAAAACCAGCCAGACUGAUAGAGGGCAGACACACCCCCCCAGUCCUUAAAACCAGCCAGACUGAUAGAGGGCAGACACACCCCCCCAGUCCUUAAAACCAGCCAGACUGAUAGAGGGCAGACACCCCCCCAGUCCUUAAAACCAGCCAGACUGAUAGAGGGCAGACACCCCCCCAGUCCUUAAAACCAGCCAGACUGAUAGAGGGCAGACACCCCCCCCCAGUCCUUAAAACCAGCCAGACUGAUAGAGGGCAGACACCCCCCCAGUCCUUAAAACCAGCCAGACUGAUAGAGGGCAGACACCCCCCCCAGUCCUUAAAACCAGCCAGACUGAUAGAGGGCAGACACCCCCC
rnacentral:lncRNA from 1 species